AUUGAACGCUGGCGGCAGGCCUAACACAUGCAAGUCGAACGAAGUCUUCGGACUUAGUGGCGGACGGGUGAGUAACACGUGGGAACGUGCCUUUAGGUUCGGAAUAACUCAGGGAAACUUGUGCUAAUACCGAAUGUGCCCUUCGGGGGAAAGAUUUAUCGCCUUUAGAGCGGCCCGCGUCUGAUUAGCUAGUUGGUGAGGUAAAGGCUCACCAAGGCUACGAUCAGUAGCUGGUCUGAGAGGAUGACCAGCCACAUUGGGACUGAGACACGGACCAAACUCCUACGGGAGGCAGCAGUGGGGAAUCUUGCGCAAUGGGCGAAAGCCUGACGCAGCCAUGCCGCGUGGAUGGUGAAGGUCUUAGGAUUGUAAAAUCCUUUCACCGGUGAAGAUAAUGACUGUAGCCGGAGAAGAAGCCCCGGCUAACUUCGUGCCAGCCGCCGCUGUAAGAC
rnacentral:rRNA from 1 species